UACGUAGGGUGCAAGCGUUAAUCGGAAUUACUGGGCGUAAAGAGUGCGUAGGCGGCUAUGUAAGACAGAUGUGAAAUCCCUGGGCUUAACCUAGGAACUGCAUUUGUGACUGCAUGGCUAGAGUGUGGUAGAGGGAGAUGGAAUUCCGCAUGUAGCAGUGAAAUGCGUAGAUAUGCGGAGGGACACCAAUGGCGAAGGCAAUCUCCUGGACCUGCACUGACGCUCAUGCACGAAAGCGUGGGGAGCAAACAGG
rnacentral:rRNA from 1 species